rnacentral:lncRNA from 1 species
UUUGACGAGGACGACAGAGCUUUAGAAAAGAAGUAUGUGAGGAUCCAUGGAGGCGUGUGUUUAGUCUCACAUUGGUUAUUUGCUUGAGAAUGUCAGGGCUUAAAUGGGGCCACAUCGAUUAUUUGCUUAGGAAAUUCUUUGUGGUGGGUGGGAUGUAGUAGAUCUUUUGUUGAUAUCAGGAGAAUCUUGAUGUUUAGUUCUAGUUGUACAUGAACCA